UACGUAGGGUGCGAGCGUUAAUCGGAAUUACUGGGCGUAAAGCGUGCGCAGGCGGUUCGUUGUGUCGGCGGUGAAAGCCCCGGGCUUAACCUGGGAAUGGCCGUUGAAAUUGGCGAACUGGAGUGUGGCAGAGGGGGGUGGAAUUCCGCGUGUAGCAGUGAAAUGCGUAGAGAUGCGGAGGAACACCAGUGGCGAAGGCGGCCUUCUGGACCAAUACUGACGCUCAUGCACGAAAGCGUGGGGAGCAAACAGG
rnacentral:rRNA from 1 species